rnacentral:rRNA from 1 species
AACAUUGGACAAUGGGGGCAACGCUGAUCCAGCCAUGCCGCGUGUUUGAAUAAGGUCUUCUGUUUGUAAAGCACUUUAAGGUGGAAGGAAGGGCUUUAUGUUACUACCCUGAAGUUUUCACGUUACCAACAGAAGAAGUACCGGCUAACGCUGUGUCAGCAGCCGCGGUAAGACAGAGGGUGCAAGCGUUAAUCGGAAGUACUGGGCGUAAAGCGCGCGUAGGUGGUUCAGUAAGAUGGGUGUGAAAUCCCCGGGCUUAACCUGGGAACUGCUUUCAUAACUGCUGAGCUAGAGUACGGUAGAGGGUAGUGGAAUUUCCUGUGUAGCGGUGAAAUGCGUAGAUAUAGGAAGGAACACCAGUGGCGAAGGCGACUACCUGGACUGAUACUGACACUGAGGUGCGAAAGCGUGGGGAGCAAAC